rnacentral:rRNA from 1 species
UGGGGAAUAUUGGACAAUGGGGGCAACCCUGAUCCAGCAAUGCCGCGUGUGUGAAGAAGGCCUGCGGGUUGUAAAGCACUUUCAGUAGAGAAGAAAAAGCUCGAGGCUAAUACCCUCGGGUCUUGACGUAACCUACAGAAGAAGCACCGGCUAACUCCGUGCCAGCAGCCGCGGUAAUACGGAGGGUGCGAGCGUUAAUCGGAAUUACUGGGCGUAAAGCGCGCGUAGGCGGUUUGGUCAGUCGGAUGUGAAAGCCCCGGGCUUAACCUGGGAAUUGCAUUCGAUACUACCAAGCUAGAGUAUGGGAGAGGGAAGUGGAAUUUCCGGUGUAGCGGUGAAAUGCGUAGAUAUCGGAAGGAACACCAGUGGCGAAGGCGACUUCCUGGCCCAAUACUGACGCUGAGGUGCGAAAGCGUGGGUAGCGAACAGGAUUAGAUACCCCCGUAGUCC